GGGCCGUUAGCUCAAUUGGCAGAGCAACUGACUCUUAAUCAGUAGGUCGCUGGUUCGACCCCAGCACGGCCCACCA
rnacentral:tRNA from 1 species